rnacentral:rRNA from 1 species
UAGGGAAUCUUCGGCAAUGGACGGAAGUCUGACCGAGCAACGCCGCGUGAGUGAAGAAGGUUUUCGGAUCGUAAAGCUCUGUUGUAAGAGAAGAACGAGUGUGAGAGUGGAAAGUUCACACUGUGACGGUAACUUACCAGAAAGGGACGGCUAACUACGUGCCAGCGGCCGCGGUAAUACGUAGGUGGCAAGCGUUGUCCGGAAUUAUUGGGCGUAAAGCGCGCGCAGGCGGAUAGGUCAGUCUGUCUUAAAAGUUCGGGGCUUAACCCCGUGAUGGGAUGGAAACUGCCAAUCUAGAGUAUCGGAGAGGAAAGUGGAAUUCCUAGUGUAGCGGUGAAAUGCGUAGAUAUUAGGAAGAACACCAGUGGCGAAGGCGACUUUCUGGACGAAAACUGACGCUGAGGCGCGAAAGCCAGGGGAGCGAACGGGAUUAGAUACCCCGGUAGUCCUGGCCGUAAACGAUGGGUACUAGGUGUAGGAGGUAUCGACCCCUUCUGUGCCGGAGUUAACGCAAUAAGUACCCCGCCUGGGGAGUACGACCGCAAGGUUGAAA